rnacentral:lncRNA from 1 species
CCACCGCCUUCUUCUCCGCCUCCAACUCCUCCCCCGCCGAACGCGAAGCGGCUGGCGGCUGUGGCGGCGGCGGCGGCGGUGGCGGCGGCGGAAGCAGAGGCGGUGGCGGUGAGUCCCGCCCCUUGCGCCGCGGUGGAGGCGAAGGAGGAGAGUACGCAAGCCCCUCCCCCAUAGCAGAGAUGACCAGUCAGCUUACAGGGUCUCUGCUGGGGGACAAUGCAUACGCCCAAUCAGAACCUGAGGAGUGGGCUCACGUCAAUGGUUGGGACGUGGCAGAAAAAGGGAAAAAUACUUGGACCUUCUCUACAGCCUGCUCCCCCAUCUCCCUCAGGGGGAGUUCACCAAUUGGCUGAAGAGCGGAAAGACGAAGCCGACUCAGUCCCCCGCCCCAGCCGAGCCCACCUCCUUUCCCUGCAGUACUGCGACGUUUGGGGAGGGGGCGGAGCACCGUGUAGGAGCUAAAACUGCGCGGCCUUUUGUGGUUUGGGCUGAGAGAAAAGGGCGGGGUCUCGGAAAGGGAAGGGGGUGUGGAGAACUAACAGAAAGACUGGCGCAGUUAGGCUUUUUCGGAAAUUCCAACAGCAACAACCAAAAUGGAGGCAUUAAAAUCGAUCCUGAUUCGACUGGAAACCUGAUUAACAAGGUUAAGGUCUCCUGGCAUAAAGUUCAGUUACAAUGCAGAUAUCGGUGAGACAAAAAAAAAAAAUGACACGAAGAAAGGCUUGUUUACCCACCCUGACCCUGGGCACUAUAUGGCGCUUUCCACCCUCCCUCUCCGCGCUGACCCUUGCCCCUCGCUUCUUAUUCUGCUGGGGCGGGGUUCAGAGGAGGCCUGCCUUUCCUCUGUAUAGCCUUGGGCUGACCACAGCCUCCCAGCUUGCAUCUUGAGGCUGUUUGUCAAGCCGGGAAGUAACAGCUCCCAUCACAUGCAACCAAAAUAAAUACAACAGCUGCAGUCCCCGGACACCUUGCUUAAUUUAAACCUGGGUAACAGUUUAGUUAAUUAUGUCAGUGAUACAAAACUGUUUCUUCGUUCCGCACAUAUUCCCUUUAUUCAUCUUGAAACGUGUCCGCUUAUCUGAUUACAGUCCCUCUGUCUUCUCUUAUUCCCCACCCCCGACCCGUCGCCUGAUGCCCAGGAUAUAUUCAUCGCCACCCCUCCCCCGCGAAUUAAGAGCCCCACUUCUUGUGCUGUCCCCUUAACAACAGCGAACUCUCUUGCCAGUGAACUGAGACUAAUUUUUUUUUGCUGUUGAUGGAAAUAAAUUACCCAAAAUUUACUGUAGAAAUUUAGGUUUAUGAGAAUUUGCCAGACAUUUUGUGAAAUCCAAUCUGAAUCCCAGCCCACUCCUGUAGUACGUUUCUUACCAAAAAACCAUUCCUUGCUUGAUAUUACUCUGCCUUCACACGUGUUGCUAUAGGAGUUCUGACUUUAACCAUCCAAGUACCUCUUUGAAAAAAAACAAAAUUCAUAUUUUAAUUACAUUUCCCUAGUUUCCCUUUAGGGUGUUCCAGAUUGGCCCAACUGGAUACAUUAACCUGUUCUAGAAGGCAGGGAUUCCCAAAUUUCAACCUUUUUCAUACUGUAUCUGUGUAUACUACUCACUGUCCUUUUUUCUUUAAAUAAAUGUAUAUUUUCUU